rnacentral:snoRNA from 2 species
AAUCCGUGAUGAGGGCAUUUGGUUUGAUAACCCUUGAAGCGCUCCCAAGCUUCGCAGAAACUUUCAUUUGGCUUCUGAGUGAAUCCGGACAUCUCAUUCCGGAGUCU